UACGUAGGGGGCGAGCGUUGUCCGGAAUUAUUGGGCGUAAAGGGCUCGUAGGCGGUUUGUCGAGUCGGGCGUGAAAACACCGGGCUUAACUCGGUGCUUGCUUUCGAUACGGGCAGACUAGAGGCAUGCAGGGGAGAACGGAAUUCCUGGUGUAGCGGUGAAAUGCGCAGAUAUCAGGAGGAACACCGGUGGCGAAGGCGGUUCUCUGGGCAUGUCCUGACGCUGAGGAGCGAAAGUGUGGGGAGCGAACAGG
rnacentral:rRNA from 1 species